CAGCCGCCACAGUAAAACAGAGGAUGCAAGCGUUAUCCGGAAUUAUUGGGCGUAAAGGGCUCGCAGGCGGUUUCUUAAGUCUGAUGUGAAAGCCCCCGGCUCAACCGGGGGGGUCAUUGGAAACUGGGAAACUUGAGUGCAGAAGAGGAGAGUGGAAUUCCACGUGUAGCGGUGAAAUGCGUAGAGAUGUGGAGGAACACCAGUGGCGAAGGCGACUCUCUGGUCUGUAACUGACGCUGAGGAGCGAAAGCGUGGGGAGCGAACAGGAUUAGAUACCCCGGUAGUCCCUGUCUCUUAUACA
rnacentral:rRNA from 1 species